GAAAUACAAAAUAUCUGCAUAAGGUGGUUUUAAUAUGUAAAUGCAAACUUAAUGAUUUAACACUAGUAAUUUUGGGGCCCUUUAAAGCUUGUUGUUCGGUGUGAGCCAAGGCUCCGUGUUGAAGGCCGUACAUUGACCUAUAAUGGUUUACUUUUUUAAAUUGUUAUUUGGAUGGAGAGUUGUCUCAUUGGCACUCACACCACAUCUUCCUAUAUCUAUGAAGUCAUUAUGCAAUGCUUGUGAAACUCUGCAGGGUUGUUCAACCGAUGAGUAGCGAGUCAUAUUUUAC
rnacentral:lncRNA from 1 species